rnacentral:tRNA from 1 species
GCCCCCGUAGCUCAGUGGAAAGAGCAAAGGAUUCCUAAUCCUUGAGCCGCAGGUUCGAUUCCCGCCGGGGGUA